ensembl:lncRNA
GUUGUUUCUAGCAAUCUCACCUAUUAGAUUUGGUUGGGAGGGACUUAUAGCUCAUCUUUAAAUAGAGCAGAUUAACAUUAUUAAACUAGACACUCUUCACUGGAUCCUGGUGUGUAUAAUAUUCAUACUUCUUUUGUAUACUUUGGGGUCUUGAGAUUGUUUGAAAGGAUCUUCUGUGAGAUUCAAUCCAGCAGUCCAGGUUUAAAAUGAGUAAUUCACAGCAAAACGCUAACCUGAGGAUUGAAGAGUGCAGAGCCCGAGUGUUGGAAAAAUAUGAACUCACUAUAAUAAAAGAAAUUGGAAGAGGGGUGUCAGGAAUAGCAUUCCUGGUGAAGGAUCCAGAUGGAGAUGUCUAUGUAGUCAAGGAGAUAUAUUCCAGAGAUGCGAAGGAAAUGGUCAAAGUCAUACAAGAAGUCGAGAUCCUGAAGAAACUGAAGCAUGGAUAUAUUGUUACUUAUGAAGAUUCAUUUGAAGGUUCGUAUAAAUUUUAGAAAGAGAGUCAAUUCCACAUUUACAUGAAUAUAAAUGGCAGAUGCCUUUAUGCAAUACAUUGUGUUCAGAGUAUAUUUCAUAAUGCAUUUCCU